CCUACGGGAGGCAGCAGUGAGGAAUCUUGCGCAAUGGGCGAAAGCCUGACGCAGCGACGCCGCGUGAAGGAUGAAGGUCUUCGGAUUGUAAACUUCUGUUAAGGGUGAAGAAAGCCUUGCAAGUAAUAUGUGCAAGGUCUGACGGUAUCCCUAAAGAAAGCACCGGCUAACUUCGUGCCAGCAGCCGCGGUAAU
rnacentral:rRNA from 1 species